ensembl:lncRNA
GUUGAUGAGCUUCCUGCCCUUUGCAUAGUGCCAGGAUAUUCUACCAGUGCCCAGAAAAACCAAGUAUUAAUAGGUUUGAGGUUUGCUGUGUUGCUUUAAGUUAAGUCCCCUUUACAUUUGUGACGCAGGUUAGGUUAAUUGGAAAGGCACUAGCCUCUUGUUUUGUUUUACAAGUAUCGUUGGGAAGAGUAUCAGAUCUCUGCUCAGAGCGAUUAGGGAAGAACUGAGGUUUCUGGACAGUUCCUAGGUUAAGGCUGGCGUUUGACCCUUCUCCUGGUCCUUGCCUGCGCAGUCAUUCCGGCUGCUGCAUCGCCUGAGCUGAGGCAGGGUGAAAGCCGCGGCCGAACGUGCGCUUCUUGGUCCCUAGCCCGUCAUCUUUGUGUCUCUCGGGACGGGAGGGGAGGGGCUGUCUGACACAGUUAUUAAACCUGGCAGCUGCGUUGGCGGCACCGAGGCGCAUUUUGAGUGAGCUUGCAGAAAAUGAGGGGCUUUCAGCCGGGCACCAGCUUGUCACUUCUCGCUGCCUGAAAGGCGGGUUUCAGAGCGCUUUCUCUGGCUUCUAUUAGCGGGCUGCCACUAUUAGCAGUGGCCACUGAGAGUCACGCACUUGGCGUAAACAGUGGGAAACGCAACUUCUUUACUACUGAGCCACCUGGGAAGCCCUAAUGUCUGCAUGAAGAAAAAGUGGUUGAUUCUCCUGGAAUCCCAUAUGAACACAUUCCCCACUGUCAGUCUCUGCCACUAGCCCGGGACCAGCUUCAGAAGAGUGGGAUGUAAGGCGGGGUGCUGUGAGGUUCCUCUGAGGGUCUGACUCACACCACCAUGCAUCCCAGAAUUGUGGUCCAGCAAUUGGCUGUAGACUGUUCUCACAUGUUUGGAGAAGUUUGACUGUCCACGUACCAUUAAGAGUGAAGCUCUAAGACCUUUGAUUGCAGGCUUUGUGUGAUGGGUUUGGUAAUUGGCAGACCUUCUUUGAAGAAUGAUCUGGCAGUGAGCCAAGUUUUUCUUUGAGAGACUCCUAAAGGCAGUGUGGGAAGAAUUUUUCUUUAAUGGGAAUAUUUGGUUUCUUCUAUGACUACAUCUCCUAAGAAUACUUCUGCUUUGGAUAGAUACAAUUAAUUUCCACCAUUCUGAGAGCAAGAAAGAGAAUGGAAUCUGGAAUGCCUAUCAUUCAGUAUACAGACUUGGUUUUAAUCUUCAGCUUUCAGUUUGGUGUGCUCUGACCUCCCAGGAGUUGGUCUGGUAACCUCAAAUUAAAUACUCCUUGUGAAUAAUAAUUUUUUAACUUCUUCCCUAGCCGCAAGACUGGGUGUGUAUAGUGGAAUUAGCCAUAUAAUAAUAUUAAGAAUUUGGACUCUGUAGCCAGAAAGUUUGGGUUCAAAUCUUGGUUCCAAUGGUUACCAGCUAUGUGACCUCACUCAAGUUCCCUAAGUCCUGUAGUUCAUGACUCCAUGCUAAAGGUGAACAGUUCAAUGCCCAGGGAGGAAAAAGAACAUGUUGAAAUUUUAUUUCUCUUUAACCUGAAUUAUUGACUUUAUAUUUUUAAAAUGAUUUCUCUUAUACAACCAAACCAAUGAAAGCACAAAGGAAUACAAUUGCACACAUGAUCUUUCUGCAAAGAUGGUGUGGAGUUUCCCACUGAAGUAAAUCAUUGUUCACAGAAUUUGGCAAAAAGAAAAGGAAAAAGUCUCCAAACAAAUAGCCCAUUGAGAAAUACACCAUGACACGAGGAUGAUGCAAUGGCAAAUUGCAACAUGGGAAGAAGCCCUGAAUGAAAAUUUUGUGUUACAAAAGGAUCAAAAGCAGUCCAACAAAAUGGCAAGGAAACAAUAUUUAUUUUGAAACCUUACUCGUUUUUCAUAUGCAGAAUUUUUAACAAGUCGUUUGUUUCCAGUUCACCACUACACUCCGUACUUAGAAUUAUCAUGGGCAAGUCCUCAGCUGCUGAAUUGCUUUUGCCUCUGGGAAAGGUGUGACUGUGGGCUGCAGAGAACCUGACACGGAGCACAGCAAAAAUGGAAGCAGAGCACCUGCCCCCAGAGAGUGCAGGAGGGCAGAGACGCAGGCAGAUCCUGGCCAAACCCCCUAACACCACAAUCCAAGGAGGAGACAGGCCUGGGGUUCUGUCCCACAAUAAGCCUAGGCUGAGUGCUGAAAGUGGCCCUAAACCCCUCGACCUAGAAUUUCUCUUCUGCAGAUUUUCUGGCUCAGAACCACAGAAAAUAUGAAGGGUUUGAAUGAAAUCUAAAAUAUGAAAUCAUGUACCUUCUAAGGCUCAUUUGCCAAUUUUGUUGUCACUUACUUAAUUUUUGAUUUAUCUAUGGUGAUUAAAAAAACACAAAAAUAUAGUGAGCUGCUGCUGCUGCUAAGGUGCUACAGUCGUGUCCGACUCUGUGCGACCCCGUAGAUGGCAGCCCACCAGGCUCCCCCAUCCCUGGGAUUCUCUAGGCAAGAACACUGGAGUGAAAGAAAGCAUUUUAAAUAAGAGAACUUUGAAAAGGUGUUUGUACAAGGAUAUUUUCCCAUUUGUUUAUAAUAUUGUUUUAUCCACAUUAGACGGUUGGUUAAGUAAGUUAUGCUACAUCCAUAAAACAGCAUACUCUGCAACCAUGCACUGAAAAUUGGGCUUAUAGAACCAAACAGUUCCAUAAGGGAAGUUAUCCAUGACAUGUUAUUGGUACAAUGUGAAAGAAAUGAUAAAUUACUGUGAAUUAUGUUGUUUUAAUAAGCACUGUUUUAAUAGUAUGUUUGACUAGAAAAGCAUAUAACGUGAUGCUAAAUUGUCUAGUAAUCAUUUCUCUGUGGUAGGAUAAUAGAUGAUAGUUGAAUUUUUGCAAAGAACAUUUAUUGCUUUUGAAACUAGAAAAAAAUGUAUAUGGCUAAAAAGUGACCAAAGGCUGGCAGUGGUAAGCACAAAAUUAGAAGAAAAUGACCUUAAUAUACACUUAGUGGAGAAUCAUGAUUGACUGAAAUUAAAAUCAUAGAGAACUUCUUUGAAAGAACUUAAA